GCCACGUCUUCACAGAGCAGGUAGAGCUGAGUCGCUUGAUUCAAUGAAUGAUGAAGCUCAGCACUCAGAGACAAAGGACACAACAAGAGGGGUGACUGAAACAAAGUCUGCAUCAACUGCAAGCAAAGACAACAAAGACAAAAUGGAGCCUGAGCUCACACUUGUGUUAAUCGGUGAUACUAAGUCCAUUGAGAUUGGACCAGGAAACAUUUUACUUGAACAUGACGAGCCGACAAAUAUGGAGCAUUUUUCCUCC